rnacentral:misc_RNA from 1 species
AGGUAGACAGGGCGGCCGGGG